rnacentral:rRNA from 1 species
UACGUAGGGGGCUAGCGUUGUCCGGAAUCAUUGGGCGUAAAGCGCGCGUAGGCGGCCCGGUAAGUCCGCUGUGAAAGUCAAAGGCUCAACCUUUGAAUGUCAGCGGAUACUGCCGGGCUAGAGUCCGGAAGAGGCGAGUGGAAUUCCUGGUGUAGCGGUGGAAUGCGCAGAUAUCAGGAGGAACACCUAUGGCGAAGGCAGCUCGCUGGGACGUUACUGACGCUGAGACGCGAAAGCGUGGGGAGCAAACAGG